rfam:Triticum aestivum genome assembly, contig: Triticum_aestivum_CS42_TGACv1_scaffold_194765_3AL
UGCGUACUCUCUCCGUUCGGAAUUACUUGUCUCGAAUAUGGAUGUAUCUAAAACUAAAAUAUGUCUAGAUACAUCCAUUUCUACGACAAGUGAUUCCGAACGAAGGGAGUAUGUC